UGCCAGCAGCCGCGGUAAUUCCAGCUCCAAAAGUAUAUAUUUAAGUUGUUGCGGUUAAAAAGCUCGUAGUUGGAUUUUGGGCGCAGGCGGCCGGUCCGUCGCAAGGCGUGUACUGGACGUCCUGGCCUUCCCUCCGGUUCUCCGCCGGUGCUCUUGACUGAGUGUCGGCGGCGGCCGGAACGUUUACUUUGAAAAAAUUAGAGUGUUCAAAGCAGGCUCUCGAGCCUGGAUAAUGGUGCAUGGAAUAAUGGAAUAGGACCUCGGUUCUAUUUUGUUGGUUUUCGGAGCGCGAGGUAAUGAUUAAGAGGGACAGACGGGGGCAUUCGUACUGUGCCGUUAGAGGUGAAAUUCUUGGAUCGGCGCAAGACGAACGACUGCGAAAGCAUUUGCCAAGAAUGUUUUCUUUAAUCAAGAGCGAAAGUCAGAGGUUCGAAGACGAUCAGAUACCGUCCUAGUUCUGACUAUAAACGAUGCCAACUAGCGAUCGGGGGGCGUUACAUUGACGACCCCUCCGGCAGCUUACGGGAAACCAAAGUCUUUGGGUUCCGGGGGAAGUAUGGUUGCAAAGCUGAAACUUAAAGGAAUUGACGGAAGGGCACCACCAGGAGUGGAGCCUGCGGCUUAAUUUGACUCAACACGGGAAAUCUCACCCGGCCCGGACACAGUGAGGAUUGACAGAUUGAGAGCUCUUUCUUGAAUUCUGUGGGUGGUGGUGCAUGGCCGUUCUUAGUUGGUGGAGCGAUUUGUCUGGUUAAUUCCGAUAACGAACGAGACUCUGGCUUGCUAAAUAGUUACGCGACCAUCCCCGGUCGG
rnacentral:ncRNA from 1 species